rnacentral:rRNA from 1 species
AACGAACGCUGGCGGCAUGCCUAACACAUGCAAGUCGAACGAGACCUUCGGGUCUAGUGGCGCACGGGUGCGUAACGCGUGGGAACCUGCCCUUAGGUUCGGAAUAACUCCCCGAAAGGGGUGCUAAUACCGGAUAAUGUCUUCGGACCAAAGAUUUAUCGCCGUUGGAUGGGCCCGCGUUGGAUUAGCUAGUUGGUAGGGUAAAAGCCUACCAAGGCGACGAUCCAUAGCUGGUCUGAGAGGAUGAUCAGCCACACUGGGACUGAGACACGGCCCAGACUCCUACGGGAGGCAGCAGUGGGGAAUAUUGGACAAUGGGCGAAAGCCUGAUCCAGCAAGGCCGCGUGAGUGAUGAAGGCCUUAGGGUUGUAAAGCUCUUUUACCCGGGAUGAUAAUGACAGUACCGGGAGAAUAAGCUCCGGCUAACUCCGUG